rnacentral:lncRNA from 1 species
AUACCACAUUUUUCAAUAUCUCAGCAUCAUCCGUUGUCAGCAAAUGGCGUGGUAUGAUUUCCUCUGCAAUUUACUAAAAUGUUCUUCCUACUUAUCAGCUUGAAGGUUUUAAUUCAUUUGGCAUAGCUAUAAUGAUUACAGAGUUGUCAGCAAAUGGCGUGGUAUGAUUUCGUCUGCAAUUUACUAAAAUGUUCUUCCUACUUAUCAGCUUGAAGGUUUUAAUUCAUUUGGCAUAGCUAUAAUGAUUACAGUUAGAAGUGGAUAUCGAGUCAAAAAUUUUCUAGAAAAGGAAACUGAAUCCAAACUUGUAUGAUAUUAAAAGAUAAAUUUCAGACGACUGAUAGCACCAUCCUAUUAAUGGAUAGUCACUGAUUUAGACAACCAAAAGUAGAAACCAUCCAAUUUGAAGUGAAGUCACACAUUGUACCUUGGUUUGUUCACCGAAGAAAAAGAAAGGGCAGCGUGGUGCACAAAGCACCCCGCAGGAUCCGGGGAAGGGCGGCACCCCUAGGGGUGUGAUGUAGACAGCCUACCAUAAUGCAAGCUUUAGUGGCUGCUUUCAGGGCUCGAACCCGUGACCUAUAGGGUCCGGGUUUGUUAGCUGAAGGUUUAUGCUAUAUCACUCUCUAAUAUUAGCUGUUGUUUCAGCUUAAUCUAUUUCUUGCCCUAAAAGUUCGCCUGUAUUUUUUCAAGCAAUCUGAUGGAACAAUGUAAUAUUGUAAUAUCUCAUGAGUUGAGAAAUUUCUAUGCUAAGGUAAGUCAACCUCGUUCACAGGAGCUAAGGAUAUAUCAUAUAUAUCAACUGUGUGUAGUAAAUACUAAAUGAAUGUUCUGAAUUGUUAUGCAAUUUUUACUGCGGUAUGUAGUUCUAUUUGUCUUACUGAGUUCCAGACAGCUCUUUUGUGUGUUAUCAACAUUGAGGGAAGCUAGCACCUAAAGUGGCUGUUAUUAAGCAAGGACUUAUGGGGUUCAGCUUUUCUGAACAUAUCAGCUGUUAUGAUUUCUGUCUUUGAUUGUCUACCUCUGCCUUUUUUAUUUCAAUGUGAAAGAAAAUUAUUGCAUUUAAAUUAU